rnacentral:rRNA from 1 species
CAGUAGCCGCGGUAAAACGUAGGGUCCGAGCGUUGUCCGGAAUUACUGGGCGUAAAGAGCUCGUAGGUGGUUUGUCGCGUUGUUCGUGAAAACUCACAGCUUAACUGUGGGCGUGCGGGCGAUACGGGCAGACUAGAGUACUGCAGGGGAGACUGGAAUUCCUGGUGUAGCGGUGGAAUGCGCAGAUAUCAGGAGGAACACCGGUGGCGAAGGCGGGUCUCUGGGCAGUAACUGACGCUGAGGAGCGAAAGCGUGGGGAGCGAACAGGAUUAGAUACCCCUGUAGUCCCUGUCUCUUAUAC